AGCGAACGCUGGCGGCGGCCUAACACAUGCAAGUCGAACGAACCUUUCGGGGUUAGUGGCGGACGGGUGAGUAACACGUGGGAACGUGCCUUUAGGUUCGGAAUAACUCAGGGAAACUUGUGCUAAUACCGAAUGUGCCCUUCGGGGGAAAGAUUAAUCGCCUUUAGAGCGGCCCGCGUCUGAUUAGCUAGUUGGUUGAGGUAAUGGCUCACCAAGGCGACGAUCAGUAGCUGGUCUGAGAGGAUGAUCAGCCACAUUGGGACUGAGACACGGCCCAAACUCCUACGGGAGGCAGCAGUGGGGAAUCUUGCGCAAUGGGCGAAAGCCUGACGCAGCCAUGCCGCGUGAAUGAUGAAGGUCUUAGGAUUGUAAAAUUCUUUCACCGGGGACGAUAAUGACGGUACCCGGAGAAGAAGCCCCGGCUAACUUCGUG
rnacentral:rRNA from 1 species